rnacentral:rRNA from 1 species
AUUGAACGCUGGCGGCAUGCCUUACUCAUGCAAGUCGAACGGCAGCACGGGUGCUUGCACCUGGUGGCGAGUGGCGAACGGGUGAGUAAUAUAUCGGAACGUACCUUAUUGUGGGGGAUAACGCAGCGAAAGCUGUGCUAAUACCGCAUAAUCCCUAAGGGGGAAAGCGGGGGACCGUAAGGCCUCGCGCAAUUAGAGCGGCCGAUACCUGAUUAGCUAGUUGGUAGGGUAAAGGCCUACCAAGGCUUUGAUGGCUAACCGGCCUGAGAGGGUGUACGGUCACAUUGGAACUGAGAUACGGUCCAGACUCCUACGGGAGGCAGCAGUGAGGGAUAUUGCGCAAUGGGCGAAAGCCUGACGCAGCGACGCCGCGUGAAGGAUGAAGGUCUUCGGAUUGUAAACUUCUGUUAAGCGGGACGAAAACCUGAUCUCUAAUACAGAUCGGGUCUGACGGUACCGCUAAAGAAAGCACUGGCUAACCUCGUGCCAGCCGCCGCGGUAA